GCAUGCGUACUGGGAGAGAUAUCCGGAAUGAAAUGGUCCUCCAUGAGAGCCACAAGUGGGCAUUCAACAACUUGAAAACUGGAUUGAAAAUGAGAGACAGAGCAGCCACUGCAGAAGCUUCCAAAAUCACACUGCACUUUCUUGAACUGCUGCAAUCCACGUGGUGAUGUAGCUCCCAUGUUGCAAAUUGGAAAGGAGUUGUAGGAUUUUCAUCCAGUGGUGAUAAGGGAAUUGGAAAGGGAGCAUUUACUGACAGGCUGCUCAACUCAAACACUGGAUCAAGAACUGCCGGGAACACUUAAUUCUCAGGAGCUUUGAAUAUGGAAGGAACAAGUGUCAUUCACAGUGAAGAGAAACCAUAUACGUGGCCUGUGUGGACAAGCCUUCAGUCAAU